rnacentral:rRNA from 1 species
CCUGACGCAGCAACGCCGCGUGCGGGAUGACGGCCUUCGGGUUGUAAACCGCUUUCAGCAGGGACGAAGGGUUACCUUGACGGUACCUGCAGAAGAAGCACCGGCUAACUACGUGCCAGCAGCCGCGGUGAUACGUAGGGUGCGAGCGUUGUCCGGAAUUAUUGGGCGUAAAGAGCUUGUAGGCGGUCUGUUGCGUCGGAAGUGAAAACUCAGGGCUUAACCCUGAGCCUGCUUUCGAUACGGGCAGACUUGAGGGAUGUAGGGGAGAACGGAAUUCCUGGUGGAGCGGUGGAAUGCGCAGAUAUCAGGAGGAACACCAGUGGCGAAGGCGGUUCUCUGGACAUUUCCUGACGCUGAGAAGCGAAAGCGUGGGGAGCAAACAGGCUUAGAUACCCUGGUAGUCCACGCCGUAAACGGUGGGCACUAGGUGUGGGUUCCAUUCCACGGAAUCCGUGCCGAAGCUAACGCAUUAAGUGCCCCGCCUGGGGAGUACGGCCGCAAGGCUAAAACUCAAAGGAAUUGACGGGGGCCCGCACAAGCGGCGGAGCAUGCGGAUUAAUUCGAUGCAACGCGAAGAACCUUACCUGGGUUUGACAUAUGCCGGACACACCUAGAGAUAGGUGCCCCGCAAGG